CAUCACAGCUACAGAGACGCCAGAUCCAAGCUGCAUCUGUGACUUACACCACAGCUCAUGGCAACACCAGAUCCUUAACCCACUGAGUGAGGCCAGGGAUUGAACCCUCAUCCUCAUGGAUACUAUUUGGCUUCAUUACUGCUGAGCCACAAUGUGAAUUUCCUGGUCUAACUUUUAAAACAAAGAAAUAGGAAAAAAAAAUCACAAUGUAGAAAAUGAGUUGUAUUUUUAUUUCAGGCUCACGUUGAAUAUAAAUCUCUGGGAUUCCUGCUGAUAGUCCAGUGGUUAAUUUUACUGCGUCGAUAUCCAAGCCAACUAUUGUUAUGAUAAUCCCCUAUGUCUUAGAGCUUGAAACAGGAAGGCAACUGAUUUCUGCAGAUCAAUAUGCGGUCAUGAAAGAACACCUCAUCCUCCGCGCCCUGGGCACAGAUUACACCAAGAAUUCUGGGCCAUGCACACACACAGAGCUGUAAU
rnacentral:lncRNA from 1 species